rnacentral:rRNA from 1 species
AUUGAACGCUGGCGGCAGGCUUAACACAUGCAAGUCGAGCGAGCGGCGGACGUGUGAGUAAUGUCUGGGAAACUGCCUGAUGGAGGGGGAUAACUACUGGAAACGUUAGCUAAUACCGCAUACCAUCAGAUGUUCCCCGAUGGGAUUAGCUAGUAGGGGGGGUAAUGGCUCACCUAGGCGACGAUCCCUAGCUGGUCUGAUAGGAUGACGAGUCACACUGGAACUGAGACACGGUCCAGACUCCUACGGGAGGCAGCAGUGGGGAAUAUUGCACAAUGGGCGCAAGCCUGAUGCAGCCAUGCCGCGUGUGUGAAGAAGGCCUUCGGGUUGUAAAGCACGUUCAGCGGGGAGGCGGUACUCGCAGAAGAAGCACCGGCUAACGCCGUGCCAGCAGCCGCGGUAAUAG